GCCGUCGUCGUCUACGACUUCGGCGCCGGCACCUUCGACGUGGCGGUACUCCGGCGCCGCCCGGACGGCGGCU
rnacentral:tRNA from 1 species